GACGAACGCUGGCGGCGUGCUUAACACAUGCAAGUCGAACGAUGAAGCCGGAGCUUGCUCUGGUGAAUUAGUGGCGAACGGGUGAGUAACACGUGAGUAACCUGCCCUUGACUCUGGGAUAACUGCUAGAAAUGGUAGCUAAUACCGGAUACGACCCUCGGAGGCAUCUCCAGGGGGUGGAAAGAAUUUCGGUCAAGGAUGGACUCGCGGCCUAUCAGCUAGUUGGCGAGGUAAUGGCUCACCAAGGCGACGACGGGUAGCCGGCCUGAGAGGGUGACCGGCCACACUGGGACUGAGACACGGCCCAGACUCCUACGGGAGGCAGCAGUGGGGAAUAUUGCACAAUGGGCGCAAGCCUGAUGCAGCAACGCCGCGUGAGGGAUGACGGCCUUCGGGUUGUAAACCUCUUUUAGUAGGGAAGAAGCGAAAGUGACGGUACCUGUAGAAAAAGCACCGGCUAACUACGUGCCAGCCGCCGCAGUAA
rnacentral:rRNA from 1 species